UACGUAGGUGGCAAGCGUUGUCCGGAUUUACUGGGCGUAAAGAGCGCGCAGGCGGUCGUUCAAGUCGCGUGUGAAAGCCCCCGGCUCAACUGGGGAGGGUCACGCGAUACUGAUCGACUCGAAGGCAGGAGAGGGUAGUGGAAUUCCGGGUGUAGCGGUGGAAUGCGUAGAGAUCCGGAAGAACACCGGUGGCGAAGGCGGCCUGCUGGGCAGUUUAGCUGACACUGAGGCGCGACAGCGUGGGGAGCAAACAGG
rnacentral:rRNA from 1 species